UGAAAGUUCACAAUGGCAUGGUCAUAUCAGGUGACAAUGUGGAGCAGUUUGGCUGCCUUGCCAGAUUAAAUGUCUCAAAUUCGGACCAUGACCAGCAAAUACAAUGAAGCGGACGGGGAAAUCGACGCGCUGCCAUUCGUUUAUUAUGAGGACGACGAUGAUUUCGAUACAUUCACGGACGGCGACGGAGACUGCGGCUGCGAUGAAGGAGUGCUGGGGUUCAGCGAUCCAUUCAGCAGCGAGGUUAAACCUCGUAUCCUGCUCAUGGGCCUUCGGCGAAGUGGCAAAUCUUCCAUUCAGAAAGUUGUAUUCCACAAGAUGUCACCCAACGAGACCCUGUUUUUGGAGAGCACCAAUAAGAUUUGUCGAGAGGAUGUAUCCAACAGUUCCUUCGUGAGCUUUCAAAUCUGGGACUUCCCCGGUCAGAUUGAUUUCUUCGACCCCACGUUCGACUACGAGAUGAUAUUUCGUGGAACAGGGGCUCUUAUCUUCGUGAUAGACUCACAGGACGAUUACGUGGAGGCAUUAAGCAGACUUCACCUCACUGUGACAAGAGCCUACAAAGUGAACCCAGACAUCAACUUUGAGGUGUUUAUACACAAGGUGGAUGGACUGUCGGACGACCACAAGAUUGAGAAACAGAGUGACAUACACAAGCGAGCCAAUGAUGAUCUAGCUGAUGCUGGUUUAGAAAGAAUACACCUAAGCUUCUACCUGACAAGCAUCUAUGAUCAUUCAAUUUUCGAGGCCUUCAGCAAAGUCGUGCAGAAACUGAUUCCUCAGCUUCCCACUCUUGAAAAUCUGCUCAACAUUUUUAUAUCUAAUUCAGGGAUUGAAAAGGCUUUUCUCUUUGAUGUGGUCAGUAAGAUUUACAUUGCAACAGACAGCAGCCCCGUGGAUAUGCAGACCUAUGAGUUGUGUUGUGACAUGAUAGAUGUGGUUAUUGACAUCUCCUGCAUCUAUGGGUUGACUGGAGAUGAGAUGGGAACUCCUUAUGAUAAAGAGUCAAUGGCCAUAAUUCAUCUAAACAACACAACAGUCAUGUACCUAAAGGAGGUCACCAAAUUUCUUGCUCUGGUGUGUUUCAUAAGAGAGGAGAGUUUCGAGAAGAAAGGGUUUAAUGCGUCUGCAGUGUGAAGCGUCUCGCUGCGGGUUAAAGCACCAGCUCUAAUCCUAGGGGAUACCUUUGCUUCGGCAAUGAGGGCUGCUGGGUAAAUCUCAUGAGGUCAGAGCCGAUUACGCAAGAGCUGCUCCUCUCUGGAUGGACACUAAAUCAUCUGUAGGGAAACUACAAUGUGUUAUGUAAGACAAUUUCAUGUUGGGUAUUAUAAUCUCAGAGGGCCUAGUGCUAUUUACAUAGCAAGAUCAGGGACCCAUCUGUGAGUGAGGCUUUUCUUCUCAUGCCUGUGAAUUGUUGAAGCGCAGGUGAAGUUAAGCACUAUCUUCGGAUGUAUCUCAAUAUGAAAAUGUUGAAAGCGCUCUUUCAAAUAUAUAUAUCAGUAUUUUGAACAGUUUCCCUGUUGCUGUCAAACCAAGUGUCGUUUUAAUCCGUCACCCAUAGUUUUCAGUCACAACUAGUCAGUAGCAAGUGAAAGGACCAAUCAGAGACUGGCAGGGUUGAUUGAGGCUGUCAUAGAGGAUUAGAUUGCUUUAAAACUUAAGCUGUCUUUUCACAUUAAGUAAAGGCUUUAAGGGCCCUUCACGAGGUCUUAAAUGAUUGGGUAAAAAAAGAGAAAAGUCGGAUAUGAACUACAGUAUGUGGAUGUACGUAAACACAAUGCAUAAGAUGGAUGCAAACGAUAGUGGUUUUAUUAAUACCUGUGCCUUAGAAGCAAUGAGUAAAUUAUUUAUGAAAAGCAAUUUUAAAGCACAUUUUACAAUACAAGUAUAGCACUUUACAAUCAUUUAUAAUGAUAAUAUCUUGCAGGUCAAUAAUGCAUGUAGGCCUAUGUACACUCACCUAAAGGAUUAUUAGGAACACCAUACUAAUACUGUGUUUGACCCCCUUUCGCCUUCAGAACUGCCUUAAUUCUACAUGGUAUUGAUUCAAUAAGGUGCUGAAAGCAUUCUUUAGAAAUGUUGGCCCAUAUUGAUUAGGAUAGCAUCUUGCAGUUGAAGGAGAUUUGUGGGAUGUACAUCCAGGGCACAAAGCUACCAUUCCACCACAUCCCAAAGUACAGUGAACUCAUUGUAACGUUCAAGAAACCAAUUUGAAAAGAUUCAAGCUUUGUGACAUGGUGCAUUAUCCUGCUGGAAGUAGCCAUCAGAGGAUGGUCAUAAAGGGAUGUAUAUGGUCAGAAACAAUGCUCAGAUAGGCCGUGGCAUUUAAAUGAUGCCCAAUCUGCACUAGGGGCCUAAAGUGUGCCAAGAAAACAUCCCCCACACCAUUACACCACCAGCCUGCACAGUGCUAACAAGGCAUGAUGGAUCCAUGUUCUCCUUGUGUUUACACCAAAUUCUGACAGAAAUCGAGACUCAUCAGACCAGGCAACAUUUUCCAGUCUUCAACUGUCCAAUUUUGGUGAGCUUGUGCAAAUUGAAGCCUCUUUUUCCUAUUUGUAGUGGAAAUGAGUGGUACCCGGUGGGGUCUUCUGCUGUUGUAGCCCAUCCACUUCAAGGUUGUGCGUGUUGUUGCUUCGCAAAUGCUUUGCUGCAUACCUCGGUUGUAAAGUUAUUUCAGUCAAAGUUGCUCUUCUAUCAGCUUGAAUCAGUCGGCCCAUUCUCCUCUGACCUCUAGCAUCAACAAAGUAUUUUCGCCCACAGGACUGCCGCAUACUGGAUGUUUUUCCCUUUUCACACCAUUCUUUGUAAACCUUAGAAAUGGUUGUGCGUGAAAAUCCCAGUAACUGAGCAGAUUGUGAAAUAUUCAGACCGGCCCGUUUGGCACCAACAAUCAUGCCACGCUCAAAAUUGCUUAAAUCACCUUUCUUUCACAUUCUGACAUUCAGUUUGAAGUUCAGGAGAUUGUCUUGACCAGGACCACACCUCUAAAUGCAUUGUAGCAACUGCCAUGUAAUUGGUUGAUUAGAUAAUUGCAUUAAUGAGAAAUUGAAAAGGGUGUUCCUAAUAAUCCUUUAGGGGAGUGUAUGUGUCACUAAACAGAUCUUAAAUGUGAUUUUAUAUAAUUUUAAUGUUUGGUAUUGUUAAUUAAAUUAACAAAUAAAUUAUUUUCUAAAAUAUUUGAAUGAUCUCACAGUUAAUUGAUUUUAAAUUGACAUCUGCAGUUGUGGAUCAACAGACGCAUCCGCAUGAAGUCCGGAGCAUCUUUAGUUCCAACGUCUCUUAAAAGUAAUCUUUGUUGUUGCAUAACUUUUGCCCCCGAUCAACAGCCCUAGAUUCUGGGAUGAGCGAGGACAGCCCAGCAUCCAUCCCGCGCUGCUCUGACCUUGCCGUUUUCCCGUCGGAAUGAAAAAAGUUGGGGAAAAAAGCAACAGAUCUGACUUCCCUUGUUCCGACGAUCUGUGCUACCUCUCAGAAUGAGCUACCUACACACUCUGCGCAUGCGCAUUACGUUGAAACACUUGGAAGGCUCUCAUCUGAAGUCCCGCCCAUAAUUUUGAGCUACCUUGCCUCACAUCUGGAUAACUGUGUAAGUAAUAAAUCCUGUUGAAUUAAAAUACUGUUUUCACUGCAUAAUCGAAUCUUUUAAAGUAAUUUUUUAAUAAUCUAUGUUUUGUCUGCGAAAAAACGAGGUGUAAAUUUAAGUUACGAGAUUGUCGCAAACGGGGUUUACCUUGCCCUGAGGCACAAUGUUUAAUAAAGCGCUUGAGGUAAACAC